rnacentral:misc_RNA from 1 species
GAUGAAUAACGUAGCGAAAUGCGAUAAGUAGUGUGAAUUGCAGAAUUCAGUGAAUCAUCGAAUCUUUGAACGCACAUUGCGCCCUUUGGUAUUCCUUAGGGCAUGCCUGUUCGAGCGUCAUUUAAACCUUCAAGCUCAGCUUGGUGUUGGGUGACUGUCCGCUUCACCGCGGACUCGCCUCAAAAUUAUUGGCGGCCGGUACAUUGGCUUCGAGCGCAGCAGAAACGCGAACUCGGGCCCGUCGUAUUGGCUCCCAGAAGCUAUCUUCACAAUUUUGACCUCGGAUCAGGUAGGGAUACCCGCUGAACUUAAGCAUAUCAAUAGCGGAGGA